UGAGGUACCAGAGGGAUGCAGGGAAAGGCCAAAGACUACAUCGGCAGCUCCAGCAUCAUGAAAGGUGCCUCUAUCAAGUACAUCUUCCUGGGAGCCUUAAUGGUCAUCUUUAUUGGAGCUCUCGCUGAAGGUGCUUCUGUGAAGAAAGAGAGAAAGACUAAAGGGAAAUGCCAACCAGGAGACAAAAACUGUGUGGAGAAUAAGGCAUUGUUGAGCAAUACAAAGCUGAAGACAUCUAAAGCACAGAUUAUAUCUCUCCCAUACGACCUUCCUUUUGACAGUGAAUUACUUAGUACAGAUGCGUCUGGGUCAGGCUAUGAGACAGAUGUAGGAUCUGGUGGGGAAACUGAUGUGAGUCCAGUAAUUUCUUCUCAACGUUUACAAGAGCUGAAGGCGUCCAAUGAGAAGGCAACUAACAACCAGGCGCCUGGAAAGAAAAGGGUUAACAUGAAGAGAUUUGACAAGAAGAAUUUAAAUGAAAUCCUUGAGAUUUAAGGCCACGGAUUUCAAGAUAAACAGAUUACUAAAACUACCAAGCACCAAUUUGUCCAUAUCCCCUGCCAGGAUCAGACCGCUUGCCACCCUCCAGCUAAGGUUGCAGCUCGCAGCAAGUGGAAGGGUUCCAGGUCCAUCACCCUGGCUUUCUGCGCACAUACGCGAUCAUGUCUUUACCUAUGAUUUGACUGCUGCUCUAUUACAGUUUCUGUUUGUUGAUCCUUCAAAUAGGAAAGUUUGAUUUCAUGUCUUGGCAUGAAAACUAUUUCUGAAAGCUAUGAAAUAUAUUGAUUAGCUUGGAAAGGGUUAAAUAGCCUUACACUUGUGCACCAUUAGAAGCUUUAUAUUCCACAGAGCAGGAAGUGAAGGCUACAAAAACAAAUUUGCACCAAUAGAACACUGCUUUCAGUAAAGAAAUAUGAAUUACAAUUUGACUGUUCUUUUUAAAGACAACAUACUUGGUACUGUUUUGUUCUGCUGCUUUUGGUUUAUUAGAGUUUUUUUUUACCACUGUAACAGAGAACAAGAUACAAUCAUAUAAGGCAUAUUAAUAUUAAGCGCUUUUAAUAUGCUCAGGCCAACCUCUGUCUAUAAGAAGAAACUGGUCAGUAGAAUGGUUUCCAGCCCAUGAAAUCUAGUUGCACAGCGGCAGUUUAUAUACUUUGUAUGUGUCCAACUCUCAGCCCUUUUAGGGCUCUGGCACACGGGGAGAUUUGUCGCGGGCGACUAAUCUACCCGUGUGCCAGAGCCCUUAGCUGUGGUGGAAUUACUACUCCCAGCAUCUUCUAGUUAACUAUCUGAAUUUGAGAUUUCUGUAAAUUAUCAGCAUUAUUUGCUCUCUGUUUGCUUAUAUAAUGAUUAUCUUUUCUUUGCUUGAGCCAGCUCAUUAAAUGUAAGGUAAAAGUAA